AGUCGAGCGGUAACAGAGAUAGCUUGCUAUCUGCUGACGAGCGGCGGACGGGUGCGUAACACGUAGGAAUCUACCCAGUAGCGGGGGGUAGCCCGGAGAAAUCCGGAUUAAUACCGCAUACGCCCUACGGGGGAAAGCAGGGGAUCUUCGGACCUUGCACUAUUGGGUGAGCCUGCGUCGGAUUAGCUUGUUGGUGGGGUAAAGGCCUACCAAGGCGACGAUCCGUAGCUGAUCUGAGAGGAUGAUCAGCCACACUGGGACUGAGACACGGCCCAGACUCCUACGGGAGGCAGCAGUGGGGAAUAUUGCACAAUGGGCGAAAGCCUGAUGCAGCCAUGCCGCGUGUGUGAAGAAGGCUCUAGGGUUGUAAAGCACUUUCAGCGAGGAGGAAAGGUUGCAGAUUAAUACUCUGUAGCUGUGACGUUACUCGCAGAAGAAGCACCGGCUAACUCCGUGCCAGCAGCCGCGGUAAUACGGAGGGUGCGAGCGUUAAUCGGAAUUACUGGGCGUAAAGCGUGCGUAGGCGGCUGUCUAAGUUGGGUGUGAAAGCCCCGGGCUCAACCUGGGAACUGCAUCCAAAACUGGACAGCUAGAGUGCGGAAGAGGAGUGUGGAAUUUCCUGUGUAGCGGUGAAAUGCGUAGAUAUAGGAAGGAACACCAGUGGCGANNNCGACACUCUGGUCUGACACUGACGCUGAGUACGAAAGCGUGGGGAGCAAACANGAUUAGAUACCCUGGUAGUCCACGCCGUAAACNAUGUCUACUANUCGUCGGGNNUCCUGUACUCUUGG
rnacentral:rRNA from 1 species